CCGAGUUUACAACUCCCAAGCCCCUGUGAACAUACACUUGUUGCCUCGGCGGAUCAGCCCGCUCCCGGUAAAACGGGACGGCCCGCCAGAGGACCCCUAAACUCUGUUUCUAUAUGUAACUUCUGAGUAAAACCAUAAAUAAAU
rnacentral:misc_RNA from 1 species